GUCCGGGAAUUACGAGCAAAGCUUAAAACCCAAAGGACUUGACGGUAUCCCAUAUUCCCCCUAGAGGAGCCUGUCCUAUAAUCGAUUAUCCCCGUUCAACCUCACCAUAUCUAGCUUUUUCAGCCUGUAUACUUCCGUCGUCAGCAUACCACGUGAGCGAUACCUAGUUAGCCCAAUGUCCGCACAUUCAUGUGCUCAUGUCGUCUACACGUCAGGUCAAAGUGCAGCAAAUGUUAUGGGAAAAGAUGGGCUACACUCUUUAAUAUAAAAGAAACGAAAAACAAAAUGAAACUUUGUUAAAAAGGUGGAUUUAGAAGUAAAAGGAAAACAUUAAGUUCCUUUAAACUCGGCACUGGGAUGUGU
rnacentral:rRNA from 1 species